CACACUGUUAUUCUUGUUUGGUGGGAGGAAUGGUUCUGUUACCUACUCACCCUUUCCCUCUGCAAUUUCACACUGUAAACUAUUGCUUUGGACCUAUGAAGACAUGGCUGCUGCAUCCUGUCAUCAUGUCUGUCUGCCUGUGAUUUUCUCUUGAGUCAGAAUUCAGAAACAGAUACAUCAUACUGCUCCAUUUCUGACCAUCCAAGUCCAACUGUGAGGUAAAAAGGAGAAUAUGAGAAGUAAACAUGAAAGAAUCACUACAGUCACUCAUCAAGAAAAAAUGAAUUGGGCAGAGUGACUCACCAGCCCAGAAGGAGAAGAAGGUUACAACUUGCAGUAGUGACAUGUUGUCUGCCAGCUGUGUACUCAAGAAGUGGGGACCUGGUGUCUGGAUGUCUCAGAAUUGAAUCCCAAUGCACAUCCUUCCUGGACACACCCAUCCUGAGAAGGUUCUGGGGGGCUUGGCCCUCCUGCUGCCCGUACCAGUGGAUGUAGCUGACCCUCAUGUGGACCAAGCACUGCAGAAAGACAGAGCUUCCCUUGUGUCCCAGGACCUGGGCUGGCUGCUCCAGUUGGAUGAAUGAAUGACCAGCUGCAAGGGAGAGAGCAGUGAGGUAGGGGCAGACCGAGUCAGGCAGUCUCUGAAAACUUCACCACGAAAGAAGGUGGGGGACUUACCUGGAAACAGGAGAGCCCACAGGAGGGUGAGAUAGCCCAGCAUGGCUCUAUGUUGUGACUAGGGUGACAGUGGCCAGGGUGAAUGCUUGUGUCAAACUGCUGCCAAGAGCCACAGCUUGGUGGUGAUGGUGGUGGUAGGGAGCAGGGUAGGGCGGGAAGCAGCAGCUCAGGCCCUAAUUGGUAAUUGGCGAGAGAAAUGGGGAAGAGGGGAAGACAGAGGACAGACAGAAAACUAACCACAAGGUGAAGGGAGGAAGGCUGAGUGGUUGGAUUUCUGAGAAACACUUAGAGAACAUUGGCAGAAUAAUAAAAACAACAACACAACGGGGAUUGCUGGGGACACCUGCAUUCUAGCACCUUAAGUAUUGAUUUAUGGCCAUUGUUUAUUAAAUCAUGAAAAUAAUCCAGUGUUACCCAAAUUAUUACUUUCAGAUUAGAAGUGUAGAAAGUGAGGCUGUUAUUUUUAGGAACUUGUCAAAAGCUGGACACCUGAGGGAAUGAGGAUGGAACAUGAAGAUAGGUCUGGCUGGAGACCAAGUAGACACUUUACCCUCAUAGAACCAUGAGUGUGCUGCUUACUUUGGAGGAAGAGACAAACACUGAAAGGCAAACUCUGCCAAAUACACAUGCUUCCCUUCAGUGUUGUCACUGGAGCUUGUCACCCAGAGGUCCUGUGGAAGAAUUUCAGUCCCUUAAAGAGCACAACAGCUCUGUUGUUUCUCUUCCUUUUCUUCCUCCAUGGUGAGGGACAUCAUGGGUUGCCAGAGGACUGACUAAAAGGGAUCAUGUGAGCAAUGCAUUUGCCACAGUCUCAGAUGCAUAGAAAAUAUGCAAGGAUAUGAGGUAUUAUUAGUCCGCCUCACCCUGGAUGGAGUUCAGUAGUUGUUCUCCGUUCUCUGGAGACUUGGUGUGAAAUAGAAAUGAUGGUUUUAGAGGUGUGUGUGUGUGUGUGUGUGUGUGUGUGUGUGUGUGUGUGAGCGCACGCGCGCACACGUGCAUGUGCAUAUGAGAAGGAAGAAGCCUAUAUUGGACCAAGGACCAGAACCUAGAGGCAGGCCCAGGUCACUCCAGGAUCAUGAGAUUCCUAGAUGUUGGGAAGAACAUCGAAGGGGUCACACAUCUGCAUUGAAGCUUGGAGAAACAGACCUGGCUUUGACUCCAGGGGAAAUGGAAGUCUAUUUUCAGUUACGCUAAUUACACCUAAGGAUCUUCUAAGUAGUCAGGCAGAUGGCCAUGAGGGAAGGCGGUGGGCAUGGCAGGAAAGGGGGCUUGGCCCUAAGGGAAGUUAUGGGUCUUUGAGGUUCCACGCCAGAUCCGGCUCCUGAGCUCCUCUUCUGUGGUAGAGCCAGGCUUGCUCAGUGCAACCAAAGUUUCCAGUGUCCCCAGAACCAGGCUUCAGGUUGUACGGAGUUGGUGACCUGCUCGUCAAACAUAAAGGAAAUAGAAAAUUUUGAAGAAUGAUAUUUUGGUACCCCCAUAUAUACCCUCUCUCGACAUCUAGUACUGCUAUAGUUAAGAGUUAGGAAGUGACAGCUAUGCCAUCUCCACAUGAAAAACAGUUAGAAAGAGUCACAGUGGAGACCAUGAGCAAUGUGGUGGUGGGAAAAUGGCCAAAUCACUUGCUUUCUAUUUUUAUUUUUUUUCCAGCUUUUCAACAGCAAGAUGACAUUAUUGGGGGGUUG